UCUGACACAUUCACCAAAUCUGCUUCAUCUGUAAGUAAACAACUUUACACCUUAAAUAAUUUUAGCCUGAUCAACUUGGUAUAUGUGUUUCAAUGAAGUGAUCUGCCUUUGUUUCCGUUGCACUAACAUUCUAGAUCUGUUUUGCUCUUUCUCUCCUUGAAAUAGCAAGAGGCAGCCGAUGCUGUCAAGCCCUUCAAAGAUGACCCGGCAAAACAAGAAAGAUUUGAGCAGUUUCUCAAGGAGAAAUACAAAGGAGGGUUACGUACAACAGAUUCCAAUAGUUUUAACAGGAUGUCGGAAUCAGCUCGUGCUCAAGAGAGGCUGGACUUUGAGGCUGCAGCUGAGGCCAUUGAGAAAGGGAAAGCUUACAAGGAGGUCAGACGAGCUACUGAACGGCCUGUCGACUUUCUUGCAGGAGGGCUGCAAUUUACUUCUGGUGGAACAGAGGUAUGUAUACACUAUCUUCAUUGUAGUUAUUCUAUGCUCAUACAUAUGUUAAAACUUUUUAUUUUAACAGCAAAUUAAAGACACUGGAGUAGUAGACAUGAAAUCAAGUAAGACAUACCCUAAAAGGGAAGAGUUCCAAUGGCGUCCUGCACCUCUUCUGUGCAAACGAUUUGACCUUCCUGAUCCUUUCAUGGGAAAGGUAAAUAACUGGUUCCUUGCUUCUCCUUCCUGGAAUGUUAUUUAAACCGUACAUUCUUUUAACACCUGAAAGGAUCCCUACAAGGGUACACUAUUCAAAUUUCAGCGUCAUGUUCCUUCUUAUGCCUAAAAUGUAGUGCUUGAGCCAGUCUUAUACAUUUUCCCUUUAAUUUACAGCCCGGAACUGCUCCGCGAGCAAGAAACAAAAUGGAUUCUCUCAUAUUCUUGCCAGAUACAGUUAAAGCUGUAUCUGAUCUACAAGAACCUAAGAAAGAGACAACAGUAGUAGAGCCAGAAGUUGAGGUACAAGUGGAGAAUGUGGAGAGACCUGUUGAUCUUUACAAGGUAAGAAGGGUGUCUUGGUCUGAGAAAUUUUAUGCCAACGUA
rnacentral:lncRNA from 1 species